GAUGAACGCUAGCGGCAGGCUUAACACAUGCAAGUCGAGGGGUAGAGGCUUUCGGGCCUUGAGACCGGCGCACGGGUGCGUAACGCGUAUGCAAUCUGCCUUUCACAGAGGGAUAGCCCAGAGAAAUUUGGAUUAAUACCUCAUAGCGUUGGAGAAGGGCAUCCUUUUCCAAUUAAAGUCACAACGGUGAAAGAUGAGCAUGCGUCCCAUUAGCUAGUUGGUAAGGUAACGGCUUACCAAGGCUACGAUGGGUAGGGGUCCUGAGAGGGAGAUCCCCCACCAUGGUACUGAGACACGGACCAGACCCCUAGGGGAGGCAGCAGUGAGGAAUAUUGGUCAAUGGGCGCAAGCCUGAACCAGCCAUGCCGCGUGCAGGAUGACGGUCCUAUGGAUUGUAAACUGCUUUUGUACGGGAAGAAACACUGAUUCGUGAAUCAGCUUGACGGUACCGUAAGAAUAAGGAUCGGCUAACUCCGUGCCAGCCGCCGCAGUAA
rnacentral:rRNA from 1 species